GCCUGGUGUGGUGAUGCACACUUGUAAUCCCAAUGACUCAGGAGGCUGAGGCAGGAGGAUCGCAAGUUUGAGACGAGCCUGGACAACUUAAUGAGACCCUGUCUCUA
rnacentral:sRNA from 1 species